rnacentral:rRNA from 1 species
GUGGCGAACGGGUGAGAACAAGUGAGUAACCUGCCCUUGACUCUGGGAUAASCGUUGGAARCGACGUCUAAUACCGGAUAUGAGCUGUGACGGCAUCGUCUGCAGUUGGAAAGAUUUUUUGGUCAAGGAUGGACUCGCGGCCUAUCAGGUAGUUGGUGAGGUAAUGGCUCACCAAGCCGACGACGGGUAGCCGGCCUGAGAGGGUGACCGGCCACACUGGGACUGAGACACGGCCCAGACUCCUACGGGAGGCAGCAGUGGGGAAUAUUGCACAAUGGGCGAAAGCCUGAUGCAGCAACGCCGCGUGAGGGACGACGGCCUUCGGGUUGUAAACCUCUUUUAGUAGGGAAGAAGCGAAAGUGACGGUACCUGCAGAAAAAGCACCGGCUAACUACGUGCCAGCAGCCGCGGUAAUACGUAGGGUGCAAGCGUUGUCCGGAAUUAUUGGGCGUAAAGAGCUCGUAGGCGGUUUGUCGCGUCUGCUGUGAAAUCUGGGGGCUCAACCCCCAGCCUGCAGUGGGUACGGGCAGACUAGAGUGCGGUARGGGAGAUUGGAAUUCCUGGUGUAGCGGUGGAAUGCGCAGAUAWCAGGAGGAACACCGAUGGCGAAGGCAGAUCUCUGGGCCG